rnacentral:miRNA from 1 species
GACGCAGGUUUGCCGGGUCCUCU